UACCUGGUUGAUGCCUGCCAGUAGUCAUAUGCGUUGUCUCAAAGAUUAAGCCAUGCAUGUCUCAGUAUAAGCUUCUAUAUGGCGAAACUGCGAAUGGCUCAUUAAAACAGUUAUAGUUUAUUUGGUGGUCAACUUCUACAUGGAUAACCGUGGUAAUUCUAGAGCUAAUACAUGCGCCCAAACCCAACUUCUUGGAAGGGUUGUGUUUAUUAGAUACAGAACCAACCCAGGCUCCGCCUGGCCUUGAGGUGAUUCAUAAUAACCGAACGAAUCGCAUGGCUCCGCCGGCGAUAGACCAUUCAAGUUUCUGACCUAUCAGCUAUCGUCGGUAGGGUAUUGGCCUACCGUGGCAAUGACGGGUAACGGAGAAUUAGGGUUCGAUUCCGGAGAGGGAGCCUGAGAAACGGCUACCACAUCUAAGGAAGGCAGCAGGCGCGCAAAUUACCCAAUCCUGACGCAGGGAGGUAGUGACAAGAAAUAACAGUACAGGGCAUAUCUGUCUUGUAAUUGGAAUGAGUAAACUUUAAAUCACUUUGCGAGUAUCAAUUGGAGGGCAAGUCUGGUGCCAGCAGCCGCGGUAAUUCCAGCUCCAAUAGC
rnacentral:rRNA from 1 species